rnacentral:lncRNA from 1 species
GGAGCGGGCUUCUGUGCAUGUGUAAUAGAGGAAGAAUCCUUCUUUUUGGGCAUGAGUUCUAGGGUAGGUUCCUUAGAAUUUCGACUCUAGAAUUUUGUGAAAAGAUAACGAGAGAGAAAAGAGUGUCUUCUCCUCAUAUUCUUCUAGCUCUUUACUUCCUCCAUAGCAUCCUUCUAAUUCUCAAAGGAGUUUGGGAGAUUCAAAGAAAGAUCGAGAUCAGCUGUCAAGUUCAUCCCUGCACGAGUUAGCACUCCCGGUG